UGGCUUAUAGUUUAAUGGAUAGAACACUUCACUACGGAUGAAGGAAUACAAGUUCGACUCUUGUUAAGCCAA
rnacentral:tRNA from 1 species